rnacentral:rRNA from 1 species
CCUACGGGAGGCAGCAGUGAGGAAUAUUGGUCAAUGGACGAGAGUCUGAACCAGCCAAGUAGCGUGAAGGAUGACUGCCCUAUGGGUGGUAAACUUCUUUUAUACGGGAAUAAAACGUUCCACGUGUGGGUUUUUGUAUGUACCAUAUGAAUAAGGAUCGGCUAACUCCGUGCCAGCAGCCGCGGUAAGACGGAGGAUCCGAUCGUUAUCCGGAUUUAUUGGGUUUAAAGGGAGCGUAGGUGGAUUGUUAAGUCAGUUGUGAAAUAUUGCGGCUCAACCGUAAAAUUGCAGUUGAAACUGGCAGUCUUGAGUACAGUAGAGGUGGGUGGAAUUCGAGGUGUAGCGGUGAAAUGCUUAGAUAUCACGAAGAACUCCGAUUGCGAAGGCAGUUCACUGGACUGCAACUGACACUGAGGCUCGAAAGUGUGGGUAUCAAACAGGAUUAGAUACCCCUGUAGUC